CCAAGUUCUUUCUCGUUUCAAAUCAGCUCCUUUAAUUUCAUCCAUCUUCUUCUCAUUUCAGGCAAUUUCCUUUCCUCGGUCAAAGAUUGUUUUAUUUCACUAAUGCAUUCCAUGGGACGGAUGAGCAAGUCUUCAAGUCUCCUCUCAUCAACUACCAGGAUCAGGAUGUGUGCUAUUCGUGUGGUUCAUGGGAAGAACCAAGGAACACACCCGCUUAUAUGAUGUAAUCAAGUAUGGGCAUAAAUAGCCCUCAACAAAGAUGUCAAUCAAGGACUCCCUGAGGAAGACCCAGACGGGUCGACACGCGUUGGAGGAAAAAACACUAUACUUUCAGUUCAAAAACCAGUGCCCAUACACAACACAGUGGUGCUCUAUAACAACUUCUAUACGAAAUACACCACGGACAUAGGAGGUAUUACGGAGGAAGAUCGAGUCACGUGGCCGAGAGGUGCAAGACCAGUGAGCAGAGUACCGAUCAACAGCCGCAAAGAAGACCGAGCGAAGCAGUGGAAGCGAACGUCGGGAUUCAAGCACAGGAGAUAAGGUAACAGCUCCGUAAGAGGGGGGGUUCACGGCGGACAGUCCCCUUGUGGGUCCCGAAGCCAGUGCUACCUUCCCCCCAGAGACGUGACCGCAUCCCUCGGACCCGGCGGGCGGUGGACGUCUGUGGAUGCAGGCGCUUCCCGCCGUCCGUGGCAGAGGUGACAAGCGGUAAGUCCGGAGCAAAUAGUUAACUUAUCCCCUGGUCACCUUGUCCCUCCGCUAUCCAGUCAGGGGUACCCCUUAGUGUUGUUACCGCGACCGGACCAGAACCUGCCUCUGAAAAGAGGAGAACUUUUAACAUCUGUAACGGGCUCCCCAACCCCAAGUUCCAAUUCAUUAUUAGAGCUUCCAUUCCAACUGUGUUGUAUCAUUCCACUUAGUACAGAACCACAUCAGUGUGAUUAAAGAGGUGGGACGCCACACUCUAUUUACACUAGACUUUGGACUCAGAAUUUUCAUUUGACCUACC